rnacentral:rRNA from 1 species
UACGGAGGGGGCUAGCGUUGUUCGGAAUUACUGGGCGUAAAGCGCACGUAGGCGGCUUUGUAGGUUAGAGGUGAAAGCCCAGGGCUUAACCCUGGAAUUGCCUUUAAGACUGCAUCGCUAGAAUCGUGGAGAGGUGAGUGGAAUUCCGAGUGUAGAGGUGAAAUUCGUAGAUAUUCGGAAGAACACCAGUGGCGAAGGCGGCUCACUGGACUGGUAUUGACGCUGAGGUACGAAAGCGUGGGGAGCAAACAGG